CCUGCUCUAAUCUCAUCAGAUCUCAGAAGCUAAGCAAGACUGGGCCUGGUUAGGACUUGGAUGGGAGACCGCUGGGAAAAUCGGGU
rnacentral:rRNA from 1 species